rnacentral:misc_RNA from 1 species
AAGUCGUAACAAGGUUUCCGUAGGUGAACCUGCGGAAGGAUCAUUAACACGUAUCCAAACGUUAAAACCCCCCCCGUGAACAUUGAUUCCUGCUCUUGUAACCCGCGAAGCUUGCAAUCUCUGGUAAAUCAUAGCCCGGAAAGUAGUUUUGAUUCAGAGACCUCUGGCCCGUGCGAAAUCACAACAGUUACAAUUCGAGCGGUAGUUCUAUAGGCCUUGUUUCCCCAAGCAGUCAGUGUCUGAAAGUGUCAGUGAUUGUGCAAGGAUAACGCUUCACGAUUCUUGUAGACCGCAUCGGUCCCCAUGCCCCCUUACAACCCCACAGUUAAAUGUGAAGCUCAAUGUAAUACAUUGGGUAAAAAACCGAACAACUGUUAACAAUGGAUAUCUUGGUUCUC